AGGAACAACAACUGUGGUGGCGGCCAGCUCUGGUGCCCUGGAUUCAGUUUCUGCAGUAACUACGGAGCUCUCUGUCUGCAGGGGCCUGGAGUCUCCAGGGACAG
rnacentral:pre_miRNA from 1 species